rnacentral:rRNA from 1 species
GCAAGUCGAGCGAGAAAGGUCCUUUCGGGGACUGAGUAGAGCGGCGCACGGGUGAGUAACGCGUGGGUAUCUGCCCGGGAGAUCGGGAUAACAGUGGGAAACCGCUGCUAAUACCGGAUACGUCUGACAAGAGAAAGGUGGCCUCUGAUUCAAGCUGCCGCUCUCGGAUGAGCCCGCGUCCCAUUAGCUUGUUGGUGGGGUAACGGCCUACCAAGGCUCCGAUGGGUAGCUGGUCUGAGAGGAUGAUCAGCCACACUGGGACUGGAACACGGCCCAGACUCCUACGGGAGGCAGCAGUGGGGAAUAUUGCGCAAUGGGCGAAAGCCUGACGCAGCGACGCCGCGUGAGGGAUGAAGGCCUUCGGGUCGUAAACCUCUGUCAGGAGGGAAGAACCGUCUGGGACUUAACAGGUUCCGGGCCUGACGGUACCUCCAGAGGAAGCACCGGCUAACUCCGUGCCAGCAGCCGCGGUAAUACGGAGGGUGCGAGCGUUAAUCGGAAUCACUGGGCGUAAAGCGCGCGUAGGCGGCUUGCCAAGUCGGAUGUGAAAGCCCUCGGCUCAACCGGGGAACUGCAUUCGAAACUGGCAGGCUGGAGUCCCGGAGAGGGUGGCGGAAUUCCCGGUGUAGGAGUGAAAUCCGUAGAUAUCGGGAGGAACACCAGUGGCGAAGGCGGCCACCUGGACGGUGACUGACGCUGAGGUGCGAAAGCGUGGGGAGCAAACAGGAUUAGAUACCCUGGUAGUCCACGCUGUAAACGAUGGAUGCUAGGUGUCGGGGGUAUUCCUUCGGUGCCGCAGUAAACGCGAUAAGCAUCCCGCCUGGGGAGUACGGUCGCAAGGCUGAAACUNCAAGAAAUUGACGGGGGCCCGCACAAGCGGUGGAGUAUGUGGUUUAAUUCGAUGCAACGCGAAGAACCUUACCUGGG